ensembl:lncRNA
GAAACAAGCAUGGGGUCCUUCUGAGCCCAGGUACCACCUGCCUAGGAAGUCAUGACUGACCAGGGGCAGGUCCUGCUCUCAGGCACCAGCAGGCACCCACGAUGUGGUCCUGUUCCCAGAAGCUCAGUCCCAGGGGCAGCCACGCUGGCCGCAGCAACACCCAAGACCCACUACCAUGCACAGCAGACCCAGCUGCGACAGUGGACCGGUGUGAGGCCAGACCUGUGGCGUGCACACCCGGAGGCUCCCCCCAAGGUCCAGCCGACUGCAUGCCUCUCCUGGACCACACUGCCCUCGCCUGGAGCCCGCCGCCUUCCUGCUGAUCCCUUUCUUGGCUGCUCCGCACUGCAGCCCUUGCAGCAGCACUUGCCCUCUUGUCCCUUUGCUGGCUGCUCUGCACGGCAGCCAUUGCAGUGGCAUCCACAGGACAGUUCCUGGGAUCUGCAAGGGUUGCCCCCACCAGCCAGGGCCUGCUUAUCGGGGCUCAGCUCUGGCCAC